GAACGCUGGCGGCGUGCCUAAUACAUGCAAGUCGAGCGAACAGACGAGGAGCUUGCUCCUCUGACGUUAGCGGCGGACGGGUGAGUAACACGUGGAUAACCUACCUAUAAGACUGGGAUAACUUCGGGAAACCGGAGCUAAUACCGGAUAAUAUAUUGAACCGCAUGGUUCAAUAGUGAAAGACGGUUUUGCUGUCACUUAUAGAUGGAUCCGCGCCGCAUUAGCUAGUUGGUAAGGUAACGGCUUACCAAGGCAACGAUGCGUAGCCGACCUGAGAGGGUGAUCGGCCACACUGGAACUGAGACACGGUCCAGACUCCUACGGGAGGCAGCAGUAGGGAAUCUUCCGCAAUGGGCGAAAGCCUGACGGAGCAACGCCGCGUGAGUGAUGAAGGUCUUCGGAUCGUAAAACUCUGUUAUUAGGGAAGAACAAAUGUGUAAGUAACUAUGCACGUCUUGACGGUACCUAAUCAGAAAGCCACGGCUAACUACGUGCCAGCAGCCGCGGUAAUACGUAGGUGGCAAGCGUUAUCCGGAAUUAUUGGGCGUAAAGCGCGCGUAGGCGGUUUUUUAAGUCUGAUGUGAAAGCCCACGGCUCAACCGUGGAGGGUCAUUGGAAACUGGAAAACUUGAGUGCAGAAGAGGAAGGUGGAAUUCCAUGUGUAGCGGUGAAAUGCGCAGAGAUAUGGAGGAACACCAGUGGCGAAGGCGACUUUCUGGUCUGUAACUGACGCUGAUGUGCGAAAGCGUGGGGAUCAAACAGGAUUAGAUACCCUGGUAGUCCACGCCGUAAACGAUGAGUGCUAAGUGUUAGGGGGUUUCCGCCCCUUAGUGCUGCAGCUAACGCAUUAAGCACUCCGCCUGGGGAGUACGACCGCAAGGGUG
rnacentral:rRNA from 1 species